AUUAAUAAUUCUUUAAUGUUUAGAAUUGCAUUUUCUAACAAACAAUCAGCAACCAUUUUGUUGUCAUAUGACAAAAAGAAGAAAAAAAAAACGAAAAAAAAACAGAGGAACCAUUUAAAGUAGACCUUCAUGACUUGACUGUGUCUGUUAUUUUAUUUAUUUAAAUCUCCCUUUUAUGAAAAUGCACGCUUUAUUCACUUUGUUCAAAGGAAGGGCCUAAUUCUACGUCAUAACAUAAAUUUGUCAUUUUCAUGACAUUUAAUAAAAAUCGUAUUAAUAUUAGGCUUGUUUUAAUAAUAGUUGUGUGAAUUCGCGUAAAGUAUUUUAUGGUCUUUUGAAAAACACUGCAUGAUAAUUUUGCACGCGUGUUUUAAAUUAGACCAUUAAAAGAUUUCUCCUUUUUAUCAUCUGGGGUAUUUAUCAUUGCCCCGUAUAUACCGGGGCUCUACAGUAGAAGGUAAGCUUGAGACUCACCGGUCUGAACUGGGUGUAUGAGGAGGAAUGUUGCGCUAUACCGCAACGCGCAUGCGCAGCGCAUUCAUAGGCCACUAUAGCAUGCUGAGGCCUACAGCUCCUCUGUUCUCAUGAUCCUGGUUCAGCUCUUAGCUAGUGGGCUUUGAAGCUUCACACGAGGAGAGGGGACAAGUGAGAACAUGCAUGUGAGUUCAAUGUGAAAUUCCCAAGGGAGAGGAAAAAAAACAUCCUGUUGAAGCAUGUCGUUAACUCCAAGGCAGAAGCUGGUAUGCUUGGAAUUGCAGAGCACCAAGACUGCUU